CCGCGGAAGGGGAGCGAAGACCCGCCCACGCUGCGUGCGUCGUGGUGCUGUGCAUUCUGGACCUUAUACUUUGACAGGUGAGAGGACUGAGAGAGAGAAGAGGAGGCCAACGCUGCAUCUCAUCACCAUUUAUUAUUAUUAUUAUUAUUAUUAUUAUUAUUAUUAUUAUUAUUAUUAUUAUUAUUAUUCCCUUUCUUUCCAUAUAGGGUGUACUAUUAUUGGGUUGUUGUAUGUUUUCCGGGCUGUCGGGCCAUGUUCCAGAAGCAUUCUCUCCUGACGUUUCGCCUACAUCUAUGGCAGGCAUCCUCAGAGGUUGGGAGGUAUGAGGAUGCCUGCCAUAGAUGUGGGCGAAACGUCAGGAGAGAAUACUUAUGGAACAUGGCCAUACAACAACCCUGUGAUCCCGGCCAUGAAAGCCUUCGUCAACACAUUGUGUUAUUAUUAUUAUUAUUAUUGACACAAAGACAUAGUAUGACACAGCAAACGAGAUCUAUAUGCUGUGUCAUACUAUGUCUUUGUGUCAAUAAAUGGUUACUAUCUUAUUAUUACUUCAUUUUUAUCUUCUUUCUCCCCAUAUAUGGUGUAUUAUUAUUAUUAUUAUUAUUAUUAUUCCUUUUCUCCCCAUAAAGGGUGUAUUAUUAUUAUUAUUAUUACUUUAUUUUCAUCCCCUUUCUUCCUAUAUAGGGUGUUUUGUUAUUAUAAUAUUAUUAUUACUUUAUUUGUAUCCCCUGUCUCCUUAUAUAGGAUGUAGUAUUAUUAUUACUUUAUUUUCAUCCCCUUUCUUCCCAUAUAGGGUAUAUUAAUAUUACUUUAUUUUCAUCCCCUUUCUUCCCAUAUAAUAAUAAUAACUUUAUUUUUAUACCCCGUCUCUAUCUCCCCAAAGGGGACUCAGGGCAGCUUACAUGGGGCCAAGCUCGAAUAAAAAUAAUAACAAAUAUAGGGUGUAUUAUUAUUAUAUUAUUAUUACUUUAUUUGUAUUCCCUUUCUCCCCAUAUGGGGUAUAUUAUUAUUAUUACUUUAUUUUCAUCCCCUUUCUUCCCAUAUAUGGUGUAUUUUUGUUGUUAUUAUUAUUAUUAUUUACUUUAAUUUUCUCCGCUUUUAGGGUGUAUUAUUAUUUUAGGAUUAUUAUUAUUAUUAUUAUUAUUUACUUUAUUUUAUCCCCCUUUUCCUCAUAUAGAGUGCCCCUACAUUUAUUAUUAUUAUUAUUAUUAUUAUUAUUAUUUAUUUUGUUUUUAUUCCUCUUUUCCCCAUUUAGCGUGCAUCUACAUUAUUAUUAUUACUGACUUUAUAUUCAUCCUGCCUUUCUCCCCACAUAAGGCACUUCUACAUUUAUUAUUAUUCACUUUAUUUUUAUUCUCUUCUCCCCAUAUAGUGUGCAUCUACAUUUGUUGUUGUUGUUUGUUUUUAUCCACCAUCUCCCCAUUUAGGGUGCACUUACAAUAUUAUUAUUAUUAAUAAUUUUUGCCCGCUUCUCCCUAUAUAGAGUGCAUCUACAUUUAUUAUUAUUACCAUUUGCUUCCCCCCCCCCCCCCCGCUUCUCCCGUUUAGGGUGCACCUACAUUAUUAUUACAGUAGAGUCUCACUUAUCCAAGCUUCGCUUAUCCAAGCUUCUGGAUUAUCCAAGCCAUUUUUGGAGUCAAUGUUUUCAAUAUAUCUUAAUAUUUUGGUGCUAAAUUCGUAAAUACAGUAAUUAUAACAUAACCUUACUGCGUAUUGAACUACUUUUUCUAUCAAAUUUGUUGCAUAACAUGAUGUUUUGGUGCUUAAUUUGUAAAAUCAUAACCUAAUUUGAUGUUUAAUAGGCUUUUCCUUAAUCCCUCUUUAUUAUCCAAGAUAUUCACUUAUCCAAGCUUCUGCUGGCCCAUUUAGCUUGGAUAAGUGAGACUCUACUGUAUUAUUAUUUACUUCAUUUUUAGCCCCCCUUUCCCCAUAUAGGAUGUAUUUACAUUAUUAUUAUUAUUAUUAUUAUUAUUAUUAUUAUUAUUUAGUAUAGGAUACAACUACACUAUCAUUAUUGUGGUUAUUUGCUUUAGUUGUAUUCUACUUUCCUCUUAAUAUAGGGAUGCAAGGCUACUAACAGCAAACAUUACUUGAUGCAAUUAAAAAUGAAGCAGCCUCUGACCUUCACAAACAGGCUAUAGUUCCCAGUGCUAUGGAGCCACCAAGUCACUCCCUCCCUCCCAGGAUAUUGCAGGUUACAGUGAAUACACCCCAGUGUUUCUUUCUCUCUCUAUUUGCAUGACCCCGCACACUGCCUCUCCCAUAACCCUUUCCUACCCUUUCCUACAGCAAACAGAGGAAUUGAUCAGCAACUGAACAUAUAUAGAGAGAGGUUUGGGGAGAAUUCACUAUGAUUUAUAGGAGUUGUAGGGACUGGGAUGUAUAGUUCACCUGCAGUCUAAGAGCCCUCUGAACCCCACCAACAAUGGACCUGGAACUAACUUGCCAUACAGACCCAACAAGGCCAACUUUGCAUACUGACGGGGUUUGGGUGUGAUUGACCUUGACAUCCAGGAAUUAUAGUUCACCCAUAUUCAGAAAACACUGAACCCAUCUGAUGAUGAAUCUGGACCAAACACAAAUUCAACAUGGCCAACUGGGAAUACUGGUGGACUUUGGGGGUGAUUGACCUUUAUCUCUGGGAGUUAUAGUUCACCUGUAUUCUGUGAGGCCUUUGAACCCCACCAGUGAUGAAUCUGGACCAAACUUGCCACACAGACCCAGUGCUGCCAACUUGGGAUGACAAUUAUAGUUCAUCCGUAUUCAGAGAACACUGAAGCCAGCAAGUGAUGGAUCUGGACCAAACUUGGCACACAGACCCAACAUGGCUAACUGUAAAUACUGGCAGGCUUUGUGGGUGAUUGAUCUUGGCAUCAGAGAGUUAUAGUUCACCCAUAUUCAGAGAACACUGAGCCCAGUGGGUGACCAAUCUGCACCAAAUUUGGCACACAGAUCCAACAUGGCCAACUGUGAAUACUGGGGGAGUUUUGGGAGGGUUGACUCAAGAUUUUUGGGAGUUGUAGUACACCAACAUCCUUCUGCAUUUUUUAAUGAGAGCAUUCAUAAAAAAACCCCAAAGACAUGAGAGUUUUUUUUCUAAGAAAUAGUGUAACAUGAUCAAACUGAUACUACCAAACAUCCAGAAACAGACUAUGCCCUUUUCAAAUAACCCAGACAUUGCUGGGUACCCAAGCUAGUAUGAAUAUAAAAAUGAAUAUAAUAUGAAUAGAAAAUAAUAUGAAUAGAAAAACUGAAAAACCUUUAAUUACAGUUUGCAGUUUUUAUUGCAGUUUGACACCACUUUAACCGCCAUGGCUCAAUGCUACAGAAUCCUGGGAGUUGUAGUUUUGCAAAGCCUUAUCAAAGUAUGCCGGUGCCUCACCAAACUAAAAUUCCCAUGAUUUCAUACCAUUGAACUAUGGCGGUUAAAGUGGCAUCAAACUGCAUUCAUUCUAAGGUGUAGAUGCACCCCUAGAUCAAACGAAGAAGUGACGAAAUCAACAAAUAGUUAUCUUUUCUCCCUUUUCAAAUAUUUAUGUUUUAAAAACCUGAUAUUUUUCUAAAAGUUUUCUGAGCGAACUUGGCUCAUCACGUCUGCAGCCAAUCGACAAAGUUGCAAUUGAACAAUCAAGGAGAUGUUCUUAACCCAAGGCUACACAUUUAUUGCUUUUUCUCUUAGCAGAUAGACGUCAAUAUGGGUUUUAUUACAUCCUCUCCAGUCUCUCUUCUCUUUACUCCACGAAAAGGGAGUGAAAUCACCUUGACAGCCAUGUUAUUCUCCUUUCUGCGACUAUCGAUUAUUUCCUGUUUAUUUUCUUGGAUUCACAGUCUGUUACGAACCCUGCUUAUUGAAUCCGUUCCUUGUUUCAGUGGUACAUAAAUUAUAGGAUUUGCUGGGGAGGCACAUUGCAGUGGAUCCUUCCAUCUCAAGUUGAAGUUUAUUCCAGCUAAAGGGAAAUCAAAGGACCAACCUAUUCCAUAAGCAGUGAGUGCAUCUAUACUGAAGAGUGUAUGCAGCUUGACACCACUUGAACUUCCAUGCCUCAAUGCUAUGCAAUUUAUUGGUGUUGUAGUUUGCCAAAGAGUUCUGGUGCCUAAAUAGCUUGUAAAACUGCAACUCCUAGGAUACCAUAGCAUUGCACCAUGGCAGAUGCAUCUACACUAGUCAUAUAAUGCAGUUCACGUGGUGUCAGACUGCAUUCUGUAGUGUAGAUUUACUCCAUUUUACAAUUAUAGUGCUUUGAUACCACUUUUAAACUGCCAUGGAUGCAUGCUCUGAAAUCUUGGAAUUUGUAGUUUCAUCCUGCACUUAGUGGAUCUCAACCUUUGGUUCUCCAUAAGGUUGAGACUUCAACUCCCAGAAUGCCUCACUGUUUCAUAAGAUAUUAGGACGUCUGAGACUAAAGAGUCCAAAUUAUCUGGAAGACCAAACACUAGAUUAGAGCUUGCUGAUGAGGUUUCUAAAUAUCUUGUGAAACUACAAAUCCCAUGCUUUAGCUUUAGUUAUUUAGUAUCUUUCUCCCAACACAGGUUCCAAUGCAACUAGAAUCUGCUUUGAACUAUCAUGGAGCCAUAGCAGUUAAUGUGAAUCAAGGGGUGUAUCAACACUGUGGAAUUAAUGGGGUUUGACUCCACUUAACUGCCAUGGCUCAACAGCAACAAUAACAAUACAGUAAAUUUAUUUGUUACUUGCCAGACACAUAAAAUACAAAAUGACUAGAAUACAUAUAUCAAAAUAUACACAAGAUCAACAACAAAAGAAAUAUAAUUUAGGUUAAAAUUCACAACUUAAAAUCAACUGGGUAAGCCUGCUGUAAGAGAGAGGUUUUCAGUUGCAUCUUGAAUUCUGACAGCUCAUCUGGCUGUCGGAUCUCUUCCAGCGUGUCAUUCCAUAGUCUUGGAACAGCCGAUGAAAAUGCUCUGGAACCAUGGGAUUUAUAGUUUUACAAGGUCUUUAGCUUUCUCUGCCAAAGAAUCCUGGUGCCUCACCAAACAACAAUUCCCAUGUUUCUAUAGUUUUAAGCCAUGGCAGUCAUAGUAGUGUCAAACUGUAUUGUUGCUACUGGAGUUGAAGCUCUAGCAACUCAUUUCUUUAGAUGCCACUCACAAUGCAACAAAUAGAGGCUUUCUGGGAUACAUCUGCACUGAGUAGCUUAUCUGUCAUCUUUUCCCAGACCACACCUUUCUGUCAGGCAGUUUCUUAGACAGAUGCUUGUUGCUGUCAUUAAAAGUUAUUGCAAUUUAGUGUUUAGUGGGGUUUUAAAAGAUUUCUUAAUGGCUUGUUUGUUGGAUGCUUUUGGCAUAUCCCGGACUUUAUUUUGAUCUGCCGCACAGCUGCCGGCUUCGCAAUUUGAGACCGUGGCAUAUGUUCGCUCCACAGGGUGCUGCGGCAGGGAUUUUAAAAAUUGCAUUUGUGUACCAGGUAAGCUGGCACAUUGGCACGGCAAUAUCUUCAGAAGGGAAGAGGGGAAGGUGGAAUAAUAAUGAGAUUUGUUUCCCUUCACAGUUCCGUGGAAGUGUAAAUUUGCAGCUCAAGUGUUGGCAAAGUGAUGGAGGCAAGACAAUUGGAUAAUAUCAAACUGGUUAGGAACUUCGGGAAUUACGGGGGAUUUUUUUUUUAAUUAGUGGGGAAAUAGUUUGAGCAGACAUUUGUUUAUUUUGCAAAGCUCUUCCACAUUCCAAAGGGGAGGGAAACACUUUAAAAUGCUCCCAAAGAGGAGCACAUGUCUGUGUUACAAUUGAAUUUAAAUUGCCAAUACAUUGUCGCUGCACCGAUCCUUAUAUAUCUUGCUAGAAACUAGCUAUUAAGACAUUGGCAAAGAUAUAACACUGUAAGGAUUCAACAAGUGCAGCUCUGCCUCCCAGGAUUCAUAGUUUUGCUUCAAUUUUGCUUCAAUGCUCACCAUUCCAUGGUUGGCAUUUAUUUUUCAUGUCAGGAGCGACUUCAGAAACUGCAAGUCAUUUCUGGUGUGAGAGAAUUGGCUGUCUGUAAGGACGUUGCCCAGGGAACGCCUGGAUGUUUUGCCAUCCUGUGGGAGGCUUCUCCCUUGUCCCCACAUGGGAAGCUGGAGCUGACAAAUAGGAGCUCACCUCGUUCCCCGGAUUCAAACUGCCAACUUGUCAGUCAGCAGUCCUGCUGGCACAAAGGUUUAACCCAUUGCACCCCCGGGGGCUCCUCAUGGUUGGCAUAAGGUGCAUUUACGCUCUAGGAUUAAUGCAGUUUGGCACCACUUUAACUUCUAUGGCCCACUGUUAUAAAAUCCUAGGAGUUGUAGUUUGAUGAAACACCGAUGUUCUUUGGCACAGAAAGCUAAAGGCCUUGCGAAACUACAACUCCCAUAAUUCCAUAGCAUUGGGCCAUCACAAUUAAAGUAGUGUCAAACUUUAGUCAUUCUACAGUGUAAAUGCACACAUAAAGUGCAGGGGAUCACAGAUGCAUCUGGCUGUAGGAGUAUAACUAGAUGCAGCCUGAUGACAUUAAACCCCAAGGUUCUUUGGGGUCUCAGCAGAUGAUGCCAUCAACCUUUCUCUGGCUAUGGGGCACAGCUAGAUGUUCCUCCAAUCACCUGCAUUCUCUCCCAGUCUCUGAUUGGGCUCGAUAGUUCUUGUCUCCUCCUACUCUGUGAUUUUAUGAUCCUGUAGAGUUUAUUACAGGAGCCCCCAGUGGUGCAGUGGGUUAAACCACUGCUGAAGUUGGUGACCAAAAGAUCAGUGGUUCGAAUCUGGUGCUCAGGGCAAGCUCCCGUUGUUAGCUCCAGCUUCUGCCAACCUAGCAGACUUGCAAAUAUGAAUAGAUCAAUAGGUACCGUUUCAGCGGGAAGGUAAUGGCACUCCAUGCAGUCAUACCGGCCACAUGAGCUUGGAGGCAUCUAUGGACAAUGCUGGCUCUUUAGUUUAGAAAUGGAGAUAACCAUCCCCAGAGUCAGACACAACUAGACUUAAUGUCAAGGGGAAACCUUUACCUAGAAUUUAUUACACAAAGCAGACAAGCAAGUAUUUCUGGAACAUCUUUUCACACAAUGUUCUGUGCAUCCUGAUGCCGAUCUGCCUUUCGCACCCAUGAUUCUCCCAUCCUAGGCUUUUAACAGGUACAAUCCAUCAAUAGCCUCCAAUCUCACAUUGUUUCCGUCACCCACUCUGGUACAAUGGGUUCGUUCUACUUUUGUGCCAGCAUUGUAGUAAUGAGGUGAUGUCAGGUGGGAGAAAUGUUUCUCUUCUCACACUCCCCCCUCUCCUUUGCUGUUCCUAAAGUGGUGUUUACUUUACAUUCAUAUUUGUCUUUUUUAUGCUGCUUUUAAUAGCUGGAAUUGCACAAUUGCAUUAAAAAUUAAGAUAAUAAUAAUAAAGGAACUUCAGUAUUCUAAGAAGGCCGGGUUACAAGAUUAUGUGGAAGUAGAAAUGCGAGACCACUGAAUGUAAAUUAGCAGAAUUGUGCUAAUGAAGGCAGGUGUGAUAUUACAGGUGAUCAACAUGGUAUAUAUCCACUACACUACACUAAUGCAACUGAAAUGGAAUAACAAGUUGGUGUGACAAAGUUCUCUGAUAUAGUGGGCUGGUGUGAUAGUCCUAUAUACAGUAGAGUCUCACUUAUCCAACAUAAACGGGCCGGCAGAACGUUGGAUAAGCGAAUAUGUUGGAUAAUAAGGAGAGAUUAAGGAGAAGCCUAUUAAACAUCAAAUUAGGUUAUGAUUUUACAAAUUAAGCACCAAAACAUCAUGUUAUACAACAAAUUUGACAGAAAAAGUAGUUCAAUAUGCUGCAAAGCUAUGUUGUAAUUACUGUAUUUACGAAUUUAGCACCAAAAUAUCACAUUGUAUUGAAAACAUUGACUACAAAAAUGCGUUGGAUAAUCCAGAACACUGGAUAAGCGAAUGUUCGAUAAGUGAGACUCUACUCUAUUUCUAAAGAGGAAAUGUCAAUAUUUCCUCAAAGUUAAAAUUCAAGGUUUCUUAAAGAUGGGGGAGUCUGAAGAACUUACUUUUAGUUCUAUUCUGGAAAACUCGGACAAAGCAAUCUGAUGCAAAAGAGCUGGAUUACGAGGAAUUUGUGACUCCAGAAAAUGGCUUCUUCCCUGAAUCUGAGAGGUUGGUAGCUGAAACAAGAGGCUCUUUCUUUAGCAGGACUUGGUGGAGCCAAAGAAAUACUUUCACCUCCAAAACCUUAUGAUAUGAGAAGUAACAGUGUUGUAGGAAUCAACAUAUAUUAAACAAAAAAUACUGAAUAGUUAACAAUCUGAUAUCAAGAAGCAGCCACCUAGAAAUCUGUCAACUUCAGGGAUAUUUCUUUGCUCAGUUGUUAUGACUGCUAUAGGCUGAGUAUAUCUUAUUCAUCCAAAAUCAGAAAUACCCCAAAAUACAAAACUCCACAUGGAUGUCUGAGAGAGUGGUACCUUUGCUUUCAGUGUAUACAAACUUUCUUUCACGCACAUUAUUAAUAAAUUAUAUAACAGUUUUCUAUCUAUGUGUGUAUAUGAAACAUACAUUAACAUGAAAUUUAUAUUUGGGUUCCAUUGUUAUGUAACUUCAGCUUCUGUAAGAACCACAUGUUCACGGCUCGACGUGGCAAAAUCAGAGGUUUAUUCUCAAUGGCCCGAGAGGAUGUCAGCAAAGAAGGCACUCCAAAGAACUGAUAUCUCAUAAUUGUGAAUGCAGAGCAUAUUUAUUACAUUUGACAGCUAUAUUACAUUUGAUUGACUCAGAAGAUGUCCAGUUAGAAUCCGUUCCCUGAGUGAUCUAGGGCUCCCUCCAACAUCAUCGCUAGUUGGUCUUUGCUGUAGUGGGAAAUUCUAAUAAAACUGUCAUUGAAUUAUUUGAAAAGUCUGCCCAUUUAUUAAUCUGCCCCAGAGAGGCUUACUAUCGAAAUGGAAUGCGAUGCGGCAAUCGAUAAUGGGCUUAAUAUUCUGGCUCCGGUGGAUACAAUGGUGUCAGUCUAGGUAAACAUUGGGUGCUAGAGGGUAGUGGCUUUGACGUUACAAGGAUGACUCUAUCUUGAGGCACAGGAAAGGAAGACGUUCCCAGAUCAUAUUACAUGAAACAAAAAGAACACCGGGCUCUGAUGCAAGCCCUAUUGUGUGUUCCCAUUCCAUUGUGGUAAGAUUAUGUUAUUUUUUAGGAAUUGUCUCCCAGAGUCCAGAGUGUGUUGGGCAACAUUCCAAGGUAAUUAAUGAAGGGUUGCUUGCUAUAUGAUAAAGGCACAUAGGCUCGCUGCAUGUCUCAAUGGAGCCGCGUCUCAUAAUUCAUAUAACUUCCUAAUUUGGGAUCUAAUUUUUCAAUAACACUACCUCUAUGAUAUCUAAUUAUGUAUGUAGGCAAAUACAGGUAUUCCAAAUCAAAAAUUAAAAAUACUUCUGCUCCCAAACAUUUCAGAAAAGAGAUAUGCAACCUGUAACACUUUCUGUACUCAUGUAUUUAUUGGGAUUCUUGGCCUCUGGACGGGCUAAAUUUAAUGUCAUCUUGUCUUCCUCUUUCAACUUUAUGUACUGAAGAGCUCUGGCCUUCUGGGUGUUUGGGACUUCAGCUCCCAGAAUUCUUUAUUAUUGGCCAAGGCUUCUGGGAUUUGAAGUUCAAAAUAUCAAGUCCUAGGCAUUGGGAACAACUGCUAGGGUAAUUCUCUGAGCACUUGUUUCUUAUAGUCCUAAGAGACUAUAGCCUCAGUGCAGUGGCUCCUCUCAACAAGAGUAAUCCAUUAAUUUAACAAGAUUUAUAUAAGGGUUGAUUUAUGUAACCAUUGAUUCAGUGAUAUUUUCCAGUUGCGACUGGCAGUCAUCUUUCGGCUUUGAAGCUUUGUCAUGCAUGUACAUCUGUAAUUCUUUAACUGAAUCAGACAAAUUUUUGAUGGCAGUAUAGAGAUUUAUUGAGUUAAUGUUCAUUCUUCCAGUCAAAUAAGCCAAAGAAAUAAAAAAUAAUUCUGUAAACAAAGAAGAAAUGAGAAAUAAUUCUGUAAACAAAGAAAACAUAGCUAUCGCCAUCCUUCCUAAAUGAGAGGCCUCUUCCAUUUGAGACUUGAUGGGAUGUGAAGGAAGAGAAGAUAUGAAAACAAUCACAAAUGCUGAGACUGAGAGGCAUAGCCAAGAUAAACACAGAGAUGUUUCUACAGAGAAUGAGAAAUAUCUAUCUGGAAAGCUGGAGAGUAAUAAUGGUGAAAACAGAGAUGAGCCCACGAUCCUUUAUAUCAUGCAACUCAUUGUGGGGAGAAAGCAAGCAUAACACAUUUUUGGCAAGAAUGGUGUGGUUGGUCUAGCAGGCAGGAAUCUUAACAGGUGAAGAAGCAUCCUUGUUUAAGAGUCAGUUAAAAUCAGCCUGUUAUUUAACAAAAAGGUGUGUGGGUAUAUGUCAAUCUGUCUGUCUGUCUGUCUAUUUUAUCAUUAUAGUUUUUUGUAUGUGAUUUUAUGAUUUGUUUUUAUUGUUGUUGUUGAUUCAUUUGUUUUAUUGCUUUGUUUUUUUAUAUUGUUGAUGUUCGGGCUUGGCCCUAUGUAAGCCGCCCCGAGACCCUUCGGGGAGAUGGGGCGGGGUAUAAAAAUAAAAUUAUUAUUAUUAAAUUAUUAUCUAUCUAUCUAUCUAUCUACAGUCAGUCCAAUGUAUCCACAGGUUCUGCAUCCAUGGAUUCAACCAACCACAGCACAAAAAUAUUCGAGGAGCAUCCAUGGAUUUUGGUAUCCAUGGAAGAAUGCAACAUGAGCAUCCAUGGCCGUGAGCAUCCAUGGAUUUUGGAAUCCAUGGGGAUCCUGGAACCAAACCCUGUCAGAUACUGAGAGACCACAUUUAUAUAAACACUAGCUGUGCCCAGCCACGUGUUGCUGUGGCAAAGUGGUGGUGGUAUUGGUUAAAAAUUGUUGUGUAAUUUUUAUUUGACGUUAUUUGUAUUUUUAAAUUAAUUUUAUUGUAAGUUAUCUUUUUAUUUAUUAUAUUUUAUUAUUUUCUUGUAUUAUUUUAGUUAUUUUCUGUUAUUAUAGUAUUUUAUUGUAUUAAUUUUUUUAGUGUUUUUAAUUAUUUUUUUGUGUUUUUUAUUAUUUUUUUAUUGGGUUGUUAGGAGACCAAGUUGGAGGAGCUUAGCCUUCUAACUGGCAGCAAUUGGAUAAAAGCAAUUAUUGCUCUCCCUCUAAUUAGGACUUUAUUUUUCUUUUCUUUUUGUUGUAUCAACCUUGAGGCGUGGAUGAUGGGUUGUGUUGUCAAAUUUCGAGGUUGGGGGGCCUGUAGUUUUGUUGUUUUGUGGGUCGCCAUGAUGCCAUCACUCUUUUAUAUAUAUAGAUUGCUGCUUCCCAUUCAAUCCAAAGUCACAAAGGUCAGAAAGAACUGGCUAACAAACGGGACCAAUUGGGGCAUGAGGAAGAUGAUGUUCCCAGCUCUACAGGGAACAAGGCUGCAAUAUUCAAAAGUAGCACACUGUCAUAAUUUCUCAUAGUUGCUUCACAUGUUGGCAGAAGUGGUCUGGAAAUGUUAUCCUUGCUGUCAGUGUCUAAGACUGUUGCCAUCAUGUCAUCAUGGAGGAGUCGCAGGAUGUUCACAAUUUUGUCAGGGCAUCCGAUUUUUUGAAAGAUGAUCCGGAGAGCACUGCGACUUACUGUAUUGACUGCAAGAUCAAUGAAUGCCAUGUACAGAGUUUGAUUUUGUUCCCUGCAUUUUUCUUGGAGCUGACGUGAAGAUCAUGUCCACUGUUCUUCUAGAGGGGCAGAAGCCGUUCUGGGAUUCUGGGAGAGUGUCUUCUGAAACAGGGAGAAGGCUGUUUGCCAGGAUUCUUGUAAGAAUUUUCCCAGUGGAGGUUAGAAGGGAGAUUCCAUUGUUCAUUCCUCCUUUUUGAAAAGGGUAGUAGUAACAAUUGUGUCCUUGAAAUCUGCUGGAAUCUUCUUGGUCACCCACACUUUUUCAAUAAGCUAGUGUUGUUUGAACUCAGGUCUACCCGCUUUCAAGAUUUCAACAGGGAUGCCAUCAUAGUCCAAUGCUCAGAAACCACUAUACCCUUAAUUUACGUAACUUAACACAGCACUAGAGACCACUUUUUCAGGCAGGCCUAUCUAGUUGAUUUUUUAAUUUGUUGUUCUUAAAUUAUGAAUUUUAGAUGACACACUGGUUAUUUUAAUAAUAUGUAUUGACUGUAUGUGUUCUUUUAAACUGAUGCCUUAACUGGGUUAUAUGUUAUGUAUUUUUAAUUGAUUGGAUAUUGUGUUUUAAUAUUGUUGAUCCCUGGCUUGAUCCAUUGGGAGAGAUGGAAAUAGAAACAACAACAACGGUACCAACAUUGGCAUUAUCACCACACUGGCUCUCUGCCAUGGUUGCUGGCCAAUAUGGUUUUGGGUUGGCAUUUACAAUCAUGGCACUAUGAUAGAGUAUUAGUAAAUAUGGAGCUGUUACGGAUCUGUAACUCUAGGUUAUAAAUCCAUAACUGCAAUACAGGGUAUCAGUCUAAAUAAAUAAAUAGUUGCUUGUCCAAGAACUAUUUUCCCCUCCAGAUGUCAUUUUUUUAAAUAUUCUACCUAGCACAACCACAAAUUCUGAAAAUGUUGUAUCCAUUUCUGUAUAUACAUAUGCAGAUACACAUCUCUGCAAAGCAUUGGAAGGCAGCCAAUGUAAAGGGCAGAAUCCUUGGAUGCAGUCCAACGUCUGAAGUAAUCAAAUAUUGCCCAAAUUGCAGAAUUACUCACCUUUGAAAGUUGUUUGCUCCACAAUUAAAGUAGCCCUUCCUUGUCAAGUCAGCUUGUUGUACAUGGAGUGAUUUCUGUCUGUCUUACAUAAUUAGCCAAGUGAACCAGCUAAUGUAACAUUAACGGUGAACUCAGCUAUGGCAUUGCCAGCAAACCAACGCAAUUAACAUUUAAUGGUGUCUUUCUUUCUUCUGCACUCUAGGCUAUUUGCCUUGAAUACCUUUUCAAAGUGGGAUUUCAUGAUUGCCCAGGAUCUUUUCCGUCAGUCAUGGGACAUAUAUUUAAAGGAGAUACCCAAGUGUCGAAAUCAGUUGGACAGACAGACUUGGCAUGCAUCUCUACACAAUAGAAUUAAUGCAACUUUAUUCCACUUUAGCUGUCAUGGCUCUGUGCUAUGGAAUCCUGGGAGUUGUAGGUUGGAUAGACACUCUUUAUUUCAAGAAAAGACUAAAUAGUUUGUAAAACUACAGCUCCCAGGAUUUCAUAGCAUUGCUCCAUAGCAGUUAGACUUCAUUCAUUCUACAACAUUGGAGCACCCUUCGAUCUUCCUAUAGUAUUAGUAGUGAUGAUGAUGAUGAUGAUGAUGAUGAUGAUGAUGAGGAUUUAUAACCCUCCCUAUCUUCAGGGUGGCUUCCAGCAAAACAAAACACAGUGGCAAACAUCCAGUGCCAAGAAUCUAUAUAUAUAAAAGAGUGAUGGCAUCACGGCGACCCACAAAACAACAAAACUACAGACCCCCCAACCUCGAAAUUUGACAACACAACCCAUCAUCCAUGGCUCUAGGUUGAUACAACAAAAAGAAAAGAAAAAUAAAGUCCUAAUUAGAGAGAGAGGAAUAAUUGCUUUUAUCCAAUUGCAGCCAGUUAGAAGGCUAAGCUCCUCCAACUUGGUCUCCUAACAACCCAAUAAAAAAUAAUUAAGAACACUACAAAAUAAUUUAAAACACUAAAAAAUUAAUACAAUAAAAUACUAUAACAGAAAAUAACUAAAAAUAAUACAAGAAAAUAAUAAAAUAUAAUAAAAAGAUAACUUACAAUAAAAUUUAUGAAAAAAUACAAAUAACGUCAAAUAAAAAUUACACAAUUUUUAACCAAUACCACCACCACUUUGCCACAGCAACACGUGGCCGGGCACAGCUAGUAACAUAUAACAAAUCAAAAACAGCUUGCAACUAUUGGGGUAGUGCAAUGAAUAUGCUGUUUCUUAACAUGCAGUGUGUCCUAAUGUGUUCUAAAUUAAUGUUUAUAGGUCAACUAACUGAUGUUUAAUGCUUUUUUUUUAAAAAAAAAGUUCCAUUACAGAUUAUUUUGCUAUUUUCCUUUAGUGCAUUAAGCAAGCCAAAUCGACUACCACAUGGGAGAAAAGUAGGAUAUUACAUCCAUAAACAAAUAAAGACAUAGGGAUCAGCACAUUCAAACAUUCCUUUAAAUUUCAAGCUAAAACACAAAGCUGACUCGGUGCCCUUUUGUUUCUCUGAGGCAAGGGGUUGGAAUGUGACUCAAGGCAUCUUAUCACAAAUAAAAGAAAUAGAGCUAAAAUAACCCAAUACAAACAUUUAAAAUAUAAUUACACUACACAUAGGUUAAAACCAGCCAAAAGCAUAGCUAUUAAAAUAAACAAUAAACAAAGCACCAAUAGUCAUACAUAAGUAGCCACUCAUUUUUCCGAUUCCUUUCAGUGAGAAUUGCACAACUGUCAAGUGAUUUCAGCUCUGCUACAUUGCAGGUUCGGGUCCGGCAUGUCAAGGUCGAAUGAAACACAGACUGGUGGAAGGCAAAAGCAGAGGAGGACUCAGGGCGGAUUACAGAACACAUAUAUGGUACGCAUUCAAUGCUGUUAUACAGUCAACAAGGACAGACAAUGCACAGAGAGAAGUAAAGGCAUUUCCCAUCUUAUUUCCGGCAUCUUGGAGGCUGUGCUCAACCUCAGCCAUGGGGGGGGGGGGGGUGUUGCUCCAUUUUUCAUGCUGAGGAGCUUUCUCAUCCUUAGACAUCCUCCUAAUUGAUGUCCUUAAGGGCAUCUUUAUUACCUCCCUGCUAAAAGCGGUACCUAUUUAUCUACCCACAUUUCUGCUUUCUAUCUGCUAAGCAGGCAGGGCUAACAGCGGGUUUUCACCCCAACCUGGGCUCGAACUGCCAACCUUUCAAUCAGUAGGAUUUUUCUGUGCCAAGCCCCGGCCCCUAGCUGAGCUAUUCAAGAUACCCGUGCUUGCUCCUGAUUGCCUCACAAAGUGUCCAGCUAGGAUCUGUGUCCUGAUUGGCUCAGGGCUCUGUGUGACAUCAUCCCUGGUUGCCUCUCCCUUGGUAAUGUGAAAGUUAAUGAAAUGUUAUUGGAGCAUUUGAAGUGUUAGCCCAUUCAUCAAUUUGCUUUUGAGAGGAGCUGUGGUGUAUAAAUGGGCAAUGGGCUCAUGAUGAGAUUAAUGGUUGGACUCUGGUGGAAACAAUAGAAGUAGUCCAAAGUAAUAAUAGGUGCUUGAAGGUGAUGGCCAUCUCAGUGGGUGAUGCAAGGGUGAGGCUGGAGGACGGCAAGGGAGAAGAGUCAUUCUCACAGAUAGUGUUAGGGAUUCCUCUUCUUUAGAAGAGGAAGGGGAGCAGGAAAGUGUUCAUGAAUCAGAGGAGCAGCUGGAAUCUGAGGAGGAGAUUUUUCAAGUACCCACAUUUCAGGAGAGGCGAAAGGAAGCAGAACAGAGACAUCAUUCAGCUAGAAUAGCUGCCAGAAAUGCAGCUAAUUAGGAACUGUCCGAGCAGCUGUGAGGGGACUCAGGGCUAUAAAGCAAAAGCAGAUGCAGCCAGCUCUUGCUGGUAACAAACUGACUCUUCGCUCCCCUUGUGCCUGCUUCAAGUCUGCAUCUGGGAAACUGCUCCUAAAUAUUUGUUGCUUUUUUGGUCUGAAGUAAGACUGCUAUUUGAUUUGGGAAUUUACCAGAGACUGUGCUUGCCCUAAGACUUCCUUGCUUCCUUUUGCAUUAUUACACUGAGUGUGCUGUACUUUACGUUUUGCUGAAGUAAAGCUGUUUUCAUGUACUUACCACCA